rnacentral:rRNA from 1 species
GGGGAAUCUUGCGCAAUGGCCGAAAGGCUGACGCAGCGACGCCGCGUGGGGGAUGAAGGUUUUCGGAUCGUAAACCCCUGUUGCCCGGGACGAACGACGUCUUUCGAGACGUGUGACGGUACCGGGUGAGGAAGCACCGGCUAACUCUGUGCCAGCAGCCGCGGUAACACGUAGGGGGCGAGCGUUGUCCGGAUUCAUUGGGCGUAAAGAGCUCGUAGGCGGCUCAGUAAGUCGGGUGUGAAACCCUCAGGCUCAACCUGGGGACGCCACUCGAUACUGCUGUGGCUAGAGUCCAGUAGAGGAGUGUGGAAUUCCCGGUGUAGCGGUGAAAUGCGCAGAUAUCGGGAGGAACACCAACGGCGAAGGCAGCACUCUGGGCUGGUACUGACGCUGAGGAGCGAAAGCGUGGGUAGCAAAC